GACGCCGUGGUAGGGCGAUUGUAGCUGUUCGGGUGGGAGCCACCGGGCCGAACGGAACCAGAUAUUGAACUAGACAGCUGCUGGAGCAUCGCCCUGUCGUCGCUCACGCUGCUCGCGGCCCGGGAAUUCCCCGACCCCCCGUCUUGAACCGAAUCAGAGGGCCUACUGGCGCGAGAGUCGCUGGCGCCCGCGCGGGUUUCGGGCAUCUUCGCGCCCCCACCGUGUCGUGGCCUCAAGGGAAUGUUGACGCGUCUGCUACCCACGGGGCCGGGCGGGAGGGAGGUUCGGCAUAGCGGAGGACGGUCGCAAUGGCUUCCCGGGGGUCCUAUCGCCGCCAUUGGGUCCCCAGCGCUCCGGGCGCUGGCAUAGUCACGGGACAAAGGGCCCGGGGUGCGGGGGUGUCCCUGAGGCGGGCGCGCGGCUUUACUUCCUCUCCGGCCCCACGGGUGAGCUUCCCUCUAGGCUGAUCUCGAAGCCCUUCCCACCACCAUCUCCGCACUGGUGGCCUGGCUUCAUGGGACCAACAGGAGUAAUCUUACCCUGCGGAUCUAAUCCGGAUCUGGACCGGUCCCAGGGGAGACCCCCACCAACCUUCCUAUUGUUUGGGGGCCCAGGUGAGCGCCUCGUUCCCACUACACUCGGUUUUACCGCCCACUCGUAGGUCCGUCUCCUGGUACUGGGAAUGGGGGUCCUGAUCUGGCCCCAGGACAAGGGAACUACCCCCCCGCCCCGGGGUCAUUCCCACCCGCCACGGCUGGACAGCGGGCAACGGAAUCCCAAAAGCAGCUGUUGUCUCCAGAGCAUUCCAGCUGCGCUUGGAUUUCGUUCCCUGCUCUCCUGCCAGAGCAGCGUCCUGGCCUAGGUGGGGUGGGCCAGCCUCUGACCCCCAUACAUACUUAUUGGGUCGCUCUGGUCUCCGACCCUGUCUCAAGUGCGCCCUCAGCCUGGAAGUGGUGGGCGUAGACGUCGGAGAGCAGGUUUGUGGUCAUGUCUGGAACCUGGAGUGGCAUUGACAAGGGAGGGCGUUUCCAGGGCCUCUGGACAGGGCUGCGAUCGCGGUGAGUCCCACAGGGCCACCGCAGCUUGCUAAAGAUAGCCCUUCACUUCCUGGGGAAAACCCACCCCAACCGUCUUCGUGUACCGAGAGUAGCUGUAGCCCCCAGCUCCGCCUCCAGCCCCCAACCCUGUUAGUAGCUGCCCCAGGGUCAUGCGCCUGCGGAAUGGAAAGCGCUUUGGAAUGACACGAUCACUCCCGUUGAGUGGGCACCCAAGAAGCCAUCGGGAAUGUCGUGUCCGCCCAGUGCUCUUUCUGCGAUCCCAGCAGGGCCUUGGAGCCCUGGCCCAGAAAGGGGUCUUGCCAAACUUUUGCUGCCCCUUUCUAGGGUUCUCUCCUUUCUGAGCCCUGGGCACUCUCACUGCUUCAGAGCAGAAAUCAUGGUUUUCCCAGCACUGUGUGCUGUGUCAGGUUCAAUCUCCAUUAAAGAAAAUAGAAGAAAAGGGGAUUUAAGUUACAUUGAAGUGAAAACAUUCAGGAUCCCUGGUGGACAGAGGAAAGAGCUUUGUCUCUCUAGUGGAAUGGGAUGCUCCAACUGGGAGCAGUCCUUUAGCUGGGGCUUCUCAUGAUCACAUUGUUUAUUUGGCUCAGAAUGGCUCCUUGCCUAAACCAGGAAGCCGGAGGAUCCCUGUUAAAGUACACAAGGUUAAAAGGAAAGCAUUAAAGGCUGGUCAUUUUGGGGGAGCCUGGGUGGCUCAGUCGGUUGGGCAUCCGCCUUCGGCUCAGGUCAUGAGAUCUCUCUCGUCCUGAGUUCGAGCCCUGCACUGGGUUCUGUGCUGACAGCUCAGAGCCUGGAGCCUGCUUCGGAUUCUGUAUCUCCCUCUCUCUCUGCCCCUCCCCCACUCACUCUCUUGUCUCUGCUUCUCAAAAAUGAAUAAACGUUUAAAAAGCUGGUAAUUCUGGAAACUAUCUUGAUGGAUCUAAUUCCUGAAAAAUCAAGAGAAGCAAUUCUACGAGAGUAGGCAUUUAUCCGAUGUAAAGACGACCCAAAUCGCAAAGGAGGAAAUACUUCUGAAUAACCCGAAACCGCAGAACACGAAUUCUUUUAAAAAUGAAUUUUUAGGUGGUCGUGAAAUGUUAGCUGGCUGUAAUGUUAGCUGCCCUAUCCCACUAAACUCAUUUGGAGCUCCUGACGUUUGAUCAUGUGUCAAAUGUGGGGAAUGAAACGUUAUCACAAAUACACAGAGGUAAGACUUCGAGGGGAGAAACAGCGAUCUGGGCCCCACCCAGUAGGGAGGAUCCUUUCCCUGGUUGCUAAUGCAGGUGGCGAAGACAGAACCCUAGGUCUAAGAUGGACCCGGAGAUUUCGGAACCUAGGCCAGGCAGGGCAGACCGGCCACGCAGAGGGAGAGCUGGGGCCGAAGGUCGAAAGCGGCUAUCACGGUUCCCUCUGGCGCACCUGUCAGCUCAGGGGCCGCCACCGGAUACGCGCCCUGGCCUGUCGGUGCUCCCGGAAGUUCGGCCUCCCGGGGUUUUGCUUCCGGUUCUGCUGUUUCCUUCCGGUCGCCAUGGCGACGGGGCGCCUGGGGGUCGAAGAGACACUAGGGGCCCUCAACACGGCCCUGGGGCCUGGCGACCCCGUGUGGUUCAAGGAGACGCGCGCCCGCCACCUGCGUGCCCGAGACUUCCUGGCGCCGCGGCCCGCAUUACAAGCGCGCUUCGGGGACGGACAGGUGCCCGAGCGUGUGGUCCGUGCAGUCGCCGGCCUGCAGGGCCCCGGCGUGGCCCCGGUGCUGCGCUGCGCGCCGACCCCCGCGGGUCUGGCGCUCCAGCUGCAGCGGCCCGCCGUCUUCGAGCGCGUGCUCGGCGCCGUGGCCGCCUAUGUCGCGCCCGCCGCGCCCGCCGCGCCGGGCCCGCGCGUCCUCCUCCACUGCCCGGCGCUGCGCAGCGCCCCCGGCGCGCUCCGCCUGAGCCAGCUGCGCGCCGUGCUCGUGGCCGAUCAUUUGGCGCGAAUUCUGCGCGCUCACGGCAACUGCGCGUGGACUGGCCCGCUGCUUCGGAGAGAGCCGCCACCGAAGCCCUGAGGAACCGCGCGCUUGCAGAGCUUAGCCCUGCCCAGGAGCGGGGAGCCCUGCCCCGCGGCGUCCUGGGCACAGUGUGCCUGAAGGAGCUGGUGCAAGAACGGGGACGCGCAGCUGGCUAUGACCCCAACCUGGACAAGUGUCUGGUGACUGAGGAUCUGCUCUCGGUGCUAGCCGAGCUGCAGGAGGCUGCGCGCUGCUGGCCAGGGGACAGCCCUCCAUCCCUGGCUGCGGUCCCAGAUGCUAACGCAGACCGCUGCAUGGUUGUGCACGUGGUGAGCUGUGAGGAGGAGUUCCAGCAACAAAAGGUGGACCUGCUUUGGCGGAAGCUGGAUGACCAGGCUCCGCUCACACAGAAGCACCUGGUCUGUGGCCCGGUGAAAGUGGCUGGUGCACCCGGCACCCUCACUGCCCCUGAGUACUACGAGCUCCGGCACGCCCAGGUGUGCAAGGCGUCAGCAGCGAAGCACGGCAGGGACCUGGCACAAGACCCAGCCUGGACAGAGGUCUUCAGCGUUCUCUCCGUGGCGACCAUCAAGUUUGAGAUGCUCAGCACAGCCCCGCACGGUCAGCUUCUCCUGGCCCUGGCCGACAGCAGCAUUUCCACAAAGGGCACCAAGAGCGGCACCUUCGUCAUGUACAACUGUGCCCGUCUUGCCACACUGUUUGAAGGGUACAGGCACAGCAUGGAACGAGGUCUGUACCCCACUUUUCCACCUGUGAGCAGUCUCGAUUUCUCACUGCUACAGGAUGAGACCUGCUGAGCCAGACAGCAGCCCUGGCGUGCACAGCCCCAGGGCUGCACACCACUGCACGCACAGAGACGAUGUGCAAGUUCCUGGUACAGCUCAGCAUGGAUUUCAGCUCCUACUAUAACCGCAUACACAUCCUAGGAG